rnacentral:rRNA from 1 species
GUGUCAGCCGCCGCGGUAAGACAGAGGUGGCAAGCGUUGUUCGGAUUUACUGGGCUUAAAGGGCGCGUAGGCGGCCCUGCAUGUCGGAUGUGAAAUCUCGCCGCUCAACGGCGGAACGUCAUUCGAAACUGCGGGGCUAGAGUGCAGGAGAGGAGAGCGGAAUUCUUGGUGUAGCGGUGAAAUGCGUUGAUAUCAAGAAGAACACCGGUGGCGAAGGCGGCUCUCUGGAAUGCAACUGACGCUGAGGCACGAAAGCGUGGGGAGCAAACAGGAUUAGAUACCCCCGUAGUCC